AGGAGAAAAUAGACUACGUCGACGAGUAUGUACACAUGGGUCAGCUAACAGCCACAAGUGAUACUAUGGCUAAAGAAAUUGAUAGAAGAAUAGCCAACACUUGGAAAGGUUUUGGUCACUUAGCGAAGUAAUGAAAAACCAAGACAUGCCAAUAAAGGAAAAGAGGAAAGUCUUUAACACGUGCAUCCUACCGUGUUUAAUAUACGGGUGCCAAGCAUGGGCACUAACUGAAAUAUUAAGUAACAAAAUUAAAGUAUGUCAAAAUAGUACAUCUAGAGAAGUAAUUGGAGUAAAAAGAAGAGAUAAAAUAGAACUAAACAAAAUUAAAGGUAUAACCAAAUUCAAAGAUGCGAACAAAAUAUGUAAAACACUGAAAUGGAAGUGAGCAGGACAUAUGAUAAGAGCAAAAACUGAUAAAUGGACCAGGAAGAUAACAGAAUGGUAACCAAGAGGCUAUGAAAGGAACUAGGGCGGCCAAUGGAAACGCUGGGAAGAUGACCUCAAAAAAGUGGCCGGCCCAGGAUGGAUUAGACUUGCAAGAGACAAGGAGAAAUGGCAAUCUUUAGAGGAGGCGUUUGUCGAAAGACAAGCUGUUGUUACAAAACCCAAUCAUCGGAAAAGAAAUACUUAAUAUUGUUAUCACUGUAGAGCAGCAAUAAAGGCUUAUUUUAUUUAUUA